GACGAACGCUGGCGGCGUGCUUAACACAUGCAAGUCGAGCGGAAAGGCCCCUUCGGGGGUACUCGAGCGGCGAACGGGUGAGUAACACGUGAGUAACCUGCCCUGGACUUUGGGAUAACCCUCGGAAACGGGGGCUAAUACCGGAUAGGACUUCUGGCCGCAUGGCUGGGUGUGGAAAGUUUUUCGGUCUGGGAUGGACUCGCGGCCUAUCAGCUUGUUGGUGGGGUAAUGGCCUACCAAGGCGACGACGGGUAGCCGGCCUGAGAGGGCGACCGGCCACACUGGGACUGAGACACGGCCCAGACUCCUACGGGAGGCAG
rnacentral:rRNA from 1 species